AGUGAACGCUGGCGGUAGGCCUAACACAUGCAAGUCGAACGGCAGCACAGAGGAGCUUGCUCCUCGGGUGGCGAGUGGCGGACGGGUGAGGAAUACAUCGGAAUCUACUCUGUCGUGGGGGAUAACGUAGGGAAACUUACGCUAAUACCGCAUACGACCUACGGGUGAAAGCAGGGGAUCUUCGGACCUUGCGCGAUUGAAUGAGCCGAUGUCGGAUUAGCUAGUUGGCGGGGUAAAGGCCCACCAAGGCGACGAUCCGUAGCUGGUCGGAGAGGAGGAUCGGCCAAACUGGAACUGAGACACGGUCCAGACUCCUACGGGAGGCAGCAGUGGGGAAUAUUGGACAAUGGGCGCAAGCCUGAUCCAGCCAUACCGCGUGGGUGAAGAAGGCCUUCGGGUUGUAAAGCCCUUUUGUUGGGAAAGAAAUCCAUCUGGUUAAUACCCGGGUGGGAUGACGGUACCCAAAGAAUAAGCACCGGCUAACUUCGUGCCAGCCGCCGCCGUAA
rnacentral:rRNA from 1 species